rnacentral:rRNA from 1 species
UACGUAGGGUCCGAGCGUUGUCCGGAAUUACUGGGCGUAAAGAGCUCGUAGGUGGUUUGUCGCGUUGUUCGUGAAAACUCACAGCUUAACUGUGGGCGUGCGGGCGAUACGGGCAGACGUGGAGUACUGCAGGGGAGACUGGAAUUCCUGGUGUAGCGGUGGAAUGGACGCCAGAUAUCAGGAGGAACACCGAUGGCGAAGGCAGAUCUCUGGGCCGUAACUGACGCUGAGGAGCGAAAGCAUGGGGAGCGAACAGG